rnacentral:rRNA from 1 species
AUGAUCCUACGGGGGGCAGCAGUGAGGAAUAUUGGGCAAUGGGCGCGAGCCUGAACCAGCCAAGUAGCGUGAAGGAUGACUGCCCUACGGGUUGUAAACUUCUUUUAUAAAGGAAUAAAGUGAGGCACGUGUGCCUUUUUGUAUGUACUUUAUGAAUAAGGAUCGGCUAACUCCGUGCCAGCAGCUGCGGUAAUACGGAGGAUCCGAGCGUUAUCCGGAUUUAUUGGGUUUAAGGGGAGCGUAGAUGGGUUGUUAAGUCAGUUGUGAAGGUUUGCGGCUCAACCGUAUCAUUGCAAUUGAUACUG